UGGUUCCUUCUGACUCUGUUACACUAGGAGCCUAUUAAAGUCCCAUUAAAGUGGUUAAAGGACACCAGAGAACUUAGAGAUUUGUGUCAUCUUUCUAAAAUUUUCCUGAAAAAUGAAGUUACUCCUGAAGAAAAUUAGUUAAGAAGAGAGUCUAGGAAGUUUGUACCUCAAGAGAAGUUUUUCUAUAUAACUUGAGAAGUUUGAGUUAACCUCAUGUGACACAACCCCAAAUUAAUGUUUGUUUUCUUGAAAUUUUAUUAACUUUGUUAAUUAUAUGAGGGAUUUUAUGAGGAAUUCUUAAGAUUUCUCCAGGCAUCAGAAUUUCUUAACCCAGUCCUGUUUCCAAGGCAGAUGAAGGAGAUAUGAACAAAUAUGGUGAGGAUUCUCAAUUUCCAUAUCUAAUAA
rnacentral:lncRNA from 1 species